UACGAAGGGGGCUAGCGUUGUUCGGAGUUACUGGGCGUAAAGCGCGUGUAGGCGGGGCUUUAAGUCAGGGGUGAAAUGCCAAGGCUCAACCUUGGAACUGCCUUUGAUACUGGAGAUCUUGAGUCCGGGAGAGGUGAGUGGAACUGCGAGUGUAGAGGUGAAAUUCGUAGAUAUUCGCAAGAACACCAGUGGCGAAGGCGGCUCACUGGCCCGGAACUGACGCUGAGACGCGAAAGCGUGGGGAGCAAACAGG
rnacentral:rRNA from 1 species